rnacentral:rRNA from 1 species
AUUGAACGCUGGCGGCAGGCCUAACACAUGCAAGUCGAACGAGUGGCGGACGGGUGAGUCAUGUCUGUGAAACUGCCCGAUGGAGGGGGAUAACUUCUGGAAACGGUAGCUAAUCCCGCAUACCAUCGGAUGUGCCCAGAUGGGAUUAGCGAGUAGGUGGGGUAACGGCUCACCUAGGCGACGAUCCCUAGCUGGCCGAAGAGGAGGACCAGCAACACUGGAACUGGGAAAAGGUCCAGACUCCUACGGGAGGCAGCAGUGGGGAAUAUUGAAAAAUGGGCGCAAGCCUGAUGCAGCCAUGCCGCGUAUAUGAAGAGGGCCUUCGGGUGGUAAAGUACUUUCAGCGAGGAGGCGUUACUCGCAGAAGAAGCACCGGCUAACUCCGUGCCAGCAGCCGCGGUAAUAC